CCUCCGGUGGUGCAAGGGGAUAGCACCGUUGCCUCACGGCAAGAGAGUCCUGGGUUCAAAUCCCAGCGGGAGCC
rnacentral:tRNA from 1 species